CAGAGGGUGCAAGCGUUGUUCGGAAUUAUUGGGCGUAAAGCGCGUGUAGGCGGCUUUGCAAGUCGGGUGUGAAAGCCCUCAGCUCAACUGAGGAAGUGCGCCCGAAACUGCAGAGCUUGAGUACCGGAGAGGAUGGCGGAAUUCCCCAAGUAGAGGUGAAAUUCGUAGAUAUGGGGAGGAACACCGGUGGCGAAGGCGGCCAUCUGGACGGAUACUGACGCUGAGACGCGAAAGCGUGGGUAGCAAACAGGAUUAGAUACCCUGGUAGUCCACGCCGUAAACGAUGAGAACUAGGUGUCGUGGGUGUUGACCCCCGCGGUGCCGUAGCUAACGCAUUAAGUUCUCCGCCUGGGAAGUACGGCCGCAAGGCUA
rnacentral:rRNA from 1 species